CAACAUGAAAAGGUGCUAUACCAAAUGUCUUAAGGCAGCCAUAUCUGAAAUGGCAUGGCUUAUGCAUCAACAAGGAAGUUAAACAUCACGUGAAGUAAUCGGUUACCAAGCAAGAAAGCAUUAGAUACAAGUUUGGGAUCAGAUUCCAGGUCGAUCUGGAUGAAUUAGCCUAUGCAGCACACUCCAAAACCCGGGAUAGAUGAGGAAGUAGGGCUUUUGACAUUUCUCCAGUACCUCCCGACGUGAAAAGCACUAUACAAAUGUAAUGUUGUAUUGUAUUCUCUCCUUUUUUCCUCUUCAAAAUGCCUUCAUCACAUUGAUGUAUGGUCCCACAAUCAAAGAACCGGAUCGAACAACAAAAACUUAAUCUGCAGAGCUGCUUAAAUGACAACCCCCACCACAACUGAAAGCA